rnacentral:tRNA from 1 species
GCCGUGGCCUACUGGUUAGCGCUUCUGUCUUGAAACCGGAGGGUUGCCGGUUCGAACCCCGACCAGUAGGCA